UACUAAAUAGUGUGCACCACCGUUUCGUUGCCCAAUCAAAAAACUUCUAGAUGCUUAUCCUAACAACAAUCAAUCACUCUCCAUUUCCAGACGGUUCCAUUCUCAGAAAAAGCCUCUAUCUUCCCCAAAAGUACACAGAAUACAACUUUCCUCCCAAAAGACUUCCAAAACAGUUCGCCCUUCCUUAAUCUGCUUCCCUCGUCUUCUCCGCAACAAAAUGACUUCUUGCAAAGGACUGAACACUCCCCACUAGCUUUCUCAGGUACAAUCUUUCUUUCAUGGACUCUGGUAUUUCUAUCACGCCAAAUUACCCAAAGUGCACAACAAAGAAGACACCGUUGCGGAGUACAGCUCACCCCAAAAGCUCGAGUAAGCCAUUGAUCGAACGCCAGAUCCAAAUUAUUUGAGAAUAUGCAAAAGUAUAAACUCUGACCAAACCUCCACUGAAACAACACUCAUUCGAAAGAGGUGAUCAAUAUUUUCUUCUGCCCAUCCACAACGAGGACAACAAGCUGUAUUAAUCAAUUUUUUUGUAUUUCAUAUUAGCCAGAAUAGGUAGAUAGUUCCAAGAGCACCUCUAAAUUGUAAUUUUAAUUUCCCCAGUAAGGUUAAGGCCCCAUAGCUUUCUUUAGAAAUCACUAGUUUCGAAUUGUAAAACAAAAGCAUUAGGUUCCAUAGGAUUCCCCGGCUUCCCCACCCCACGCAAGCAUAUCCUCUUGGGCCUUAGUCGCCAAUGGGGUAUAAAGAAUUCUUUGGGCGUCCACCGACAAGAAGAUACUCAUCAACUUGUGUUAACGGCAUCGUGUAGCUACAUUCCGACCGUUAGCUUGUGUAAGCAGGCUCAUUUAUGGCUCAUAUGAGCGAUUAUGUAAAGGAAAAUGAAAGGAACGAUUUUGACCAUGUAUUAGCACAUUUUGUGUGAGCUUCUUGUGUAUCUAAUAUUAUUCUAAAUGGUUCAAUGGGCAUGUAAAGGGACGAACCGAUAAAGAUUCCGAAUGAUUUACACUAUGAAAUUAUAGAAAUAUAUGAAGUAUUGGUAAUCAAAGUAUGUAUAGCCAUUUUAUGAAAAGUAUGAAUUAAUAUGUAUUAUGAUUAUGAGAUUUAUCUUACCAUGUGAUGAAUUUGACUAAGUUAUGUGAUUAAGCAUUAAUUUGUAUUGUUGGUGAUGCUUAGGAUUGUGUCAAGCUUGUGUUGUAUUGAUUCAUGUCGAUGUUUAGGAUUAUGCAUUGAAAUGGUAAGUAUUGUUCAUGAUUUACGAAUUUACUAAGUAUUAUAAGCUUACGUCGUUUUCAUUUUUAUGUUUUAUAGAUUAUCGGAAGACUGAUCAGUUUGGAAGUUCGUCGAAGACCUAUCAUACUAUCCAACAACUAUAUCGGUAGCUUUUGAUGUUUUGAGUCAUGGUUAUAAUGACAUGUAUAGAUGAAUUAUGUUUAAUGAGAUGGUCAUUAUGUUUGGCUUGUAAAUGUGGUAUUAUGGUUGAUAAACUUUUGGCCUUUUAAUACGUUGAUGGUUGUGUUGAAA